CGGGAUUCUGGAGGUUGCUGGUUCCUGUGUGCGGGGGGAGGGGCGGACGAGCGGAAGCGCCGGCCCGCCUGCAACUGGGAAACGCGCUCUGGCCGGGUGAGCCCAAGGGGCUCCCUCGGCCUGCAAUCGGCUGGAGACCCUGCGAAGCUCCAGGACUAAGGCUGACAAGCGGCCGUCUCCCCACCCCUUCGUAAGAAACCCGCUCGGGGCGAUGAGAGGCGUGGUGGUCACCGAAACUUACUUUCUCUCCCCAGAGCGCUUUUCUGUGGCUUUGAAGCUCCAAGGACUUGCAGAUUAGAAGGGCGGAUGCCUUCUAAACAGGCUAGCUGGGCGAGGGGGAGGGGGAAUACUCAGGCAAAGACGCUUCUUGGCGUCUGCUCAGACAGACAAUUUGAACUUGAUCUUCCUGCCGCUCUGCACCAUCGUAGCCCAGGAUGCAGAAGAAACCAGGUGCAAACUCAUGAGGCAGUUGCAUCACAGGAUGUGAGGGCCCAUGACUCUGCUGCUGCUGCUUGUUAA
rnacentral:lncRNA from 1 species